AGGCCUAUAGCUCAGUGGUAGAACAUCUGCUUUGCAUGCAGAUUAUUUCUGGGUCAAUCACUGGCAUCUCCAGGUAGGGCUG